rfam:Picea glauca, whole genome shotgun sequence.
ACAUGCCUACAACAUAUUGUUAAUGCAUCUCAUCCCAUUAUAACUCUACAGUUAAGCAUGCUCAAGAUAGAGUCGUACUAGGAUGGGUGACCACCAGGGAAUUCCUAGUGCUUUACAUGCC